UUUCCGUAGGUGAACCUGCGGAAGGAUCAUUAAUAAAUGGUCUACGUUUUUUAAGUAGACGCUUAAUAAUCCUACCCUUUGUGAAUUUGUUUGUUUGAAAUAAUUUUUUUAAAAUUAUUGAAUGUCUUUCCCUGUUGAAUUGGUUGUCUUUAAUGGCAAGUGAUUCGCAGGGGAGUGUCAAUAAUUUUAAAAGACCUUUUUUAAAUUAAACUUUUUGUAUUCAUUUGUCUAAAAAAUUAUUUUUAUAAUAUAAAAACAACUUUUGGCAAUGGAUCUCUUGGUUCUCGCAACGAUGAAGAACGCAGCAAAAUGCGAUAAGUAGUGUGAAUGCAGAAUACGUGAAUCAUCGAAUCUUCGAACGCAUAUUGCACUUUUUUAGUUUACUAAAAAAGUAUGUCUGUUUGAGUAUCAGUAAAAUAUUCUCAUAAAAAACAUUGUUUUUUAUGGUUAUGAGUGUUUUACAACGAUACAAGUUGUUUCACUUUAAAUUUUUUAAAAUUUGAAUUUUUCUAAUUUUAAAAUAAAAUUGGAUAAAAUUUUCCCGUAAAAAGGAAUAACCUAAACAAUUUUAAUUUUUGAUUAGAAUUUUUCAUUCUAAAGGAAAAUUUAACUAAUAACUUGAUCUCAAAUCAGAUAAGAGUACCCGCUGAACUUAAGCAUAUCAAUAAGCGGAGGAAAAGAAACUAACAAGGAUUCCCUUAGUAACGGCGAGUGAAGCGGGAAGAGCUCAAUUUGAAAUCUUCAAGGUUUACCUUGACGAAUUGUAGUUUAAAGAAGUGUUUUCUGUUGAAGUUUGGUAAAAGUUCUUUGGAAUAGGACAUCAUAGAGGGUGAGAAUCCCGUAUUUGACCAUUAUUUCAGCUGUGUGAUACACUUUCAAAGAGUCGGAUUGUUUGGGAAUGCAGUCCAAAAUGGGUGGUAAAUUUCAUCUAAAGCUAAUAUUGGCGAGAGACCGAUAGCGAACAAGUACCGUGAGGGAAAGAUGAAAAGAACUUUGAAAAGAGAGUUAAACAGUACGUGAAAUUGUCAAAAGGGAAGCGUUUGACACCAGUGUUGUUUUCUCGAAAAUCAAUUAAAAAAAGUUGGAUUUUGUGUUGUAUUGACCUUAACAGCUUGCUUCACUCUUUUCCAGCUUUUUUUAAUGCACUUUUCGUUAACAAGUCAACAUCAGUUUCUUUUGUUGUAAAAGGUCAUUGGAAGGUGGCUUUCUCUUCGGAGAAAGUGUUUAUAGCCUUUGAUCUCUGCAAUCGGAGAGACUGAGGUCUGCAGCGUAGAUCCUUCGGGUUAGAUACAUUUGUGCAAAGCUACAGC
rnacentral:misc_RNA from 1 species